UAAAGGAUAUUUCAAUGUUCGAAAAAAGUGAUCAUCAUAUACUAAAUUUCAAAUCUGACUGGACUGCGAGAAAUGAGGGAGAAGUCGAUGAAGUUACACUUGCAAAUAUUUCUAUCAUCCCAGACUCUAUCGAAAUUUUGAUCGAGCGUUUAUAUGGCACUGACCAGCGCGCCACACUGCCACUUAAGGAGCUGGCAUGACACGCUGGUAAAAGCUAUCCUCCAAAUCAUCACGUUUUGCUCGCUGGCGCCACGUUGAAAUGAAUUGUGUGGUACUAACAUGGCAUUAACAUAGUCCUAGUAAGAAAGCAGUUUGAACAAGCCAACAUCUCUCAGAGCAUUUGUACAAUUCGACAGUCAAUUCACAAAAAAAGUAAACGAUAUUUUUGUGACAUUGAGAUGGAAUCAAUCUGAAUUUACCGAUUUACAAGGAUACACAGUGCAAUGUUUUUUCAUCGAGGACUUAAAAAAGAUUCAAAUCUGCGACGAUAAAAAUAUCACAACACUGGAGCACACCGUGCACAAUCUUAAACCUAAUACAACAUAUUAUUUCCGAGUACGUGCACAUACUGUAACGGAUGCUGGCCUCCACAUAUUGGACUUAGAUUCAAAUACUAUUAAUAAUCUCGUUGAACAAUCGGACAUAGGAGAUGAGGAUCGCUUACUGGGCACAAGAACAUAAAAUUUAUUGGAUGCACAAAUAUAAUAAUCUAAUGACAUUGGACAUUACUGAAAAUAAUAUCACAAAAAUAGUUAGCUUCGAUUAUCAUGCAUAUAAUCUCUGCAUUGAUUGGGUAAUCUAUAUAUAAAAAAUC